rnacentral:rRNA from 1 species
AUACGGAGGAUGCGAGCGUUAUCCGGAUUUAUUGGGUUUAAAGGGAGCGUAGGUGGGAUAUUAAGUCAGCUGUGAAAGUUUGGGGCUCAACCUUAAAAUUGCAGUUGAUACUGGUUUCCUUGAGUACGGUACAGGUGGGCGGAAUUCGUGGUGUAGCGGUGAAAUGCUUAGAUAUCACGAAGAACUCCGAUCGCGAAGGCAGCUCACCGGGCCGGAACUGACAUUGAUGCUCGAAAGUGCGGGUAUCAAACAGGAUUAGAUACCCUGGUAGUCCGCACAGUAAACGAUGAAUACUCGCUGUUUGCGAUACACAGUAAGCGGCCAAGCGAAAGCGUUAAGUAUUCCACCUGGGGAGUACGCCGGCAACGGUGAAACUCAAAUGAAUUGACGGGG